GGCGAACGGGUGAGUAACACGUGGGUAAUCUGCCCUGCACUCUGGGAUAAGCCCGGGAAACUGGGUCUAAUACCGGAUACGACCUGUGAAGGCAUCUUCAUGGGUGGAAAGUUCCGGCGGUGCAGGAUGAGCCCGCGGCCUAUCAGCUUGUUGGUGGGGUGAUGGCCUACCAAGGCGACGACGGGUAGCCGGCCUGAGGGGGCGACCGGCCACACUGGGACUGAGACACGGCCCAGACUCCUACGGGAGGCAGCAGUGGGGAAUCUUGCGCAAUGGGCGGAAGCCUGACGCAGCGACGCCGCGUGAGGGAUGACGGCCUUCGGGUUGUAAACCUCUUUCGACCUCGACGAAGCGAGAGUGACGGUAGGGGUAGAAGAAGCACCGGCUAACUACGUGCCAGCAGCCGCGGUAAUACGUAGGGUGCGAGCGUUGUCCGGAAUUAUUGGGCGUAAAGAGCUCGUAGGCGGUUUGUUGCGUCGGCCGUGAAAACUUGAGGCUUAACCUUGAGCUUGCGGUCGAUACGGGCAGACUUGAGUUCGGCAGGGGAGACUGGAAUUCCUGGUGUAGCGGUGAAAUGCGCAGAUAUCAGGAGGAACACCGGUGGCGAAGGCGGGUCUCUGGGCCGAUACUGACGCUGAGGAGCGAAAGCGUGGGGAGCGAACAGGAUUAGAUACCCUGGUAGUCCACGCCGUAAACGUUGGGCGCUAGGUGUGGGGACCAUUCCACGGUUUCCGUGCCGUAGCUAACGCAUUAAGCGCCCCGCCUGGGGAGUACGGCCGCAAGGCUAAAACUCAAAGGAGUUGACGGGGGCCCGCAC
rnacentral:rRNA from 1 species